rnacentral:rRNA from 1 species
AAGCGCUUGCAGCCAGACUUGCCUGUAGUUGCUCACCCGGGCGUCUCGCCCGGUGCACUCUUCUGCGGGCAGGCCAGCAUCAGUUUGGGCGGCCGGAUAAGGGUCUCUGUCAUGUAUCUCUCUUCGGAGUGACCUUAUAGGGGAGGCGUAGUACGGUCAGUCCGGACUGAGGUCCGCGCAUCUGCUAGGAUGCUGGCGUAAUGGCUGCAAG